AUUGAACGCUGGCGGCAUGCCUUACACAUGCAAGUCGAACGGUAACGCGGGGCAACCUGGCGACGAGUGGCGAACGGGUGAGUAAUGUAUCGGAACGUGCCCAGUUGUGGGGGAUAACUGCUCGAAAGAGCAGCUAAUACCGCAUACGACCUGAGGGUGAAAGCGGGGGAUCGCAAGACCUCGCGCAAUUGGAGCGGCCGAUACCAGAUUAGGUAGUUGGUGGGGUAAAGGCUCACCAAGCCGACGAUCUGUAGCUGGUCUGAGAGGCCGACCAGCCACACUGGGACUGAGACACGGCCCAAACUCCUACGGGAGGCAGCGGUGGGGAAUUUUGGACAAUGGACGCAAGUCUGAUCCAGCCAUGCCGCGUGCGGGAAGAAGGCCUUCGGGUUGUAAACCGCUUUUGUCAGGGAAGAAACGCUCUGGGUUAAUACCUCGGGGUAAUGACGGUACCUGAAGAAUAAGCACCGGCUAACUACGUGCCAGCCGCCGCCGUAA
rnacentral:rRNA from 1 species